GCUCCGGGAUAGCGCCUCGAAAGGGACGGUAAUACCGGAUAAUAUCGUCUGUCGAUGGGCAGAUGAGCAAAGAUUUAUCGGCAUAGGAGCGGCCUACCUCCUAUCAGCUUGUUGGUGAGGUAAUGGCUCACCAAGGCUAUGACGGGUAGCGGGACUGAGAGGUUGGCCCGCCACAUCGGGACUGAGACACUGCCCGGACCCUCACGGGGGGCUGCAGUAACGAAUCUUGGGCAAUGGGCGAAAGCCUGACCCAGCGACGCCGCGUGCGGGAAGAAGUCUUUCGGGAUGUAAACCGCUGUCAGGGAUAAGAAAGUCCGCCGAAAGGCGGAUUGAUCUAACCCUGAGGAAGUCACGGCUAACUUCGUGCCAGCAGCCGCGGUAAUACGAAGGUGGCAAGCGUUGUUCGGUAUCACUGGGCUUAAAGAGUGUGUAGGCGGAAAGGUAAGCGUGGUGUGAAAUCCCUCGGCUUAACCGAGGAAUCGCAAAACGAACUGCCUUUCUUGAGGCAAGUAGGGGUGCAUGGAACUCUUGGUGGAGCGGUGAAAUGCGUAGAUAUCAAGAGGAACGCCAGUGGCGAAAGCGGUGCACUGGGCUUGUCCUGACGCUGAGACACGAAAGCGUGGGGAGCGAACGGGAUUAGAUACCCCGGUAGUCCACGCCGUAAACGAUGUCUACUAGGUGGUGGAAGUUCUGACGCUGCCACCACCGAAGCAAAAGUGUUAAGUAGACCGCCUGGGGAGUACGGCCGCAAGGCUAAAACCCAAAGGAAUUGACGGGGGCUCACACAAGCGGUGGAGCAUGU
rnacentral:rRNA from 1 species